UCACCUUAUUUACAGAGAGUCUUCAUUUCUUCUCUCCUCCGUACUUGAAAGUAAGAGUUGAGCAACGGAGGAAGAGAUAGAAACAAACUCUCUCAAAAUUAAGUGCCAGGCACGCUGAAUAGUGCUAGGAGAUGUGCUUUCGGCAAGAACACAAGAUGAAAGCAAAAUCGCUCUUCUCCGGGCUGCGGAGAAAAAAAAAAAAUCUUCAUAGGAAAGCUGCCAGCUGAAGUCGCAGUUUGCCAGCUAUCGAGUUGCCCAAAUGCACUGUUGUCGGCAGCAAGCGGCAUUCGGGGAGAGCAGCGACUUAUUGGCAGUAACUGAAUGUUCUGAAUAGUGGUUCUCGUCGAGUGCAGCUUUCUGCCAAUUAGAGCAGGGGCAGACUUGUAUUACUGCAGGAGAACGCCAUAUUCUGCAGAAAAUACUUGCUGUUUGGUUAAAAAAUGAAAAUUUCUGUUAGAAACUGUCAUAUUUUGAAGAGAAAAGCCAUUUCUUUGGGGGGGGAUAGAGUGUUACCAACCACUAGACUGGGCUGCCCAGAGUUGUUGUUAUUUUGAGGGGCUGGGGGAAAUGUUAUAUUUUGAUGAGAAAAGUGCUAUUUUGUGGGAGAAAGUAUUGUGUUUUGGGGAGAGCAGUGGCAUUUGGGGGGAGAAAAUGUCAGAUACUUUGGCGAAAAAGUGGGGUUUUUUUGCGUAGUAAUGUCUUAUUUUACAGAGAAGAGUUUUAAGGGAGGCCAAGUCAUAUUUUGGGGAGAAAAGUGCCAUUUAAGGGCAGACAAUGUCCUAUACUGGAGAAUAAAGAGGAAUUUUGGGGAGACUUGUUCUAAAUUCUGGGGAGGAAAGGUGGCAUUUUGGGGAGGAAAUGUCUUAUUUUUGCAAGAGAAGUGGUAUUGUGUGGGAGAAAGCGAUAUAUUUUCAGUAGAAAAGCUGUAUUUGGUGGGCUGGAAGUGGUAUUUUGGGGAGCAAAGUGGUAUUUUGUGGUGAAAAUGUCUUUUUUUGAUGAGAGAAGUGGUAUUAUGGAGGAGAGAAUGUCAUGUUGAGGAUAAAAUUGUCAUUUGGUGGGAGACACUGCCAUAUUUUGAAAAGAAAAUUGUUGUUUUGUGAAGAAAAAGUCAUAUUUUUGAAAGAAAAGUGCUAUUUUUGAAGAGAAAGAAUAAUAUUUGGGAAAGAAAGAUGCUAUUUGGUGGGAAAAAUGUCCUAUUUUAUGGAGGGAAUGGUAUAUUGGGGAGCAAACAUAUUUUUGGAGUAAAGAGAUACUUGGGGGAGAAAAUGUCUGAUUUGGGGGAGAAAAGUGUUAUUUUGAAAGAGAAAAAGUUAUAUGUUUGGGAAAAAAAUGAUAUUCUGUUGUGGAAAAUGCCAUAUUUCUUGGAGAAAUUUUUUUUUUGUUUUUUGGUUUCUUUUUUUUCUCGUAGAAAAGGUCUGAUUUUUAAAGAGAAUCAUAGAAUCCUAUCAUAGAAUGACAGACUGGCCUGGGAUGAAAAGGACCACAAUGAUCGUGGAGUUUCAACUACCCUGCUAUGUGCAGGGUCACCAACCACUACACCAGGCUGCCCAGACCCACAGCCAGUCUCGGCUCCAAUGCCACCAGAUAUAGGGCAUCCAAAACCUCAUUGAGCAACCCAUCCCAGUGAGUAACCACCCUCAGUGUGCAAAAAAUUCCUCCUACUCUAUAACCAAGAUGACACUCUUCUGAAAACUAGGAUAUUUCCUCUCAAAAACGCCACUUUUCUCCCAAAAAUGCAGCCGUUUCUUCCCCUCGGGACCUCUUUUCUCCUCCAUAGAUGAGACUUUCUCGACCCAAAUCUCACUUUCGUCAAGAAAAGAAGGCAUUUUCCCGACCACAAAACCACUCUUCACCCCCAAAUCAGACUUUUCUCCCCAAAACACCACUGUGCUCCCUAAAAGAAGACACUCUCUCCCCCCACAUACCACUGCGCUCCCCAAACUAAGACGCCUUCAGCCCCAAAUACCACUUCUAUACACCACACAUCACCUUUGCUCCACCAAAAUACCACCCUUCUCACGACAAUAAGACAGUUUCCCCACAAAUACCCCUCUUCUUCUCCAAAUACGACACUGUCCCCACCACAAUACCUCUUUUCUCCCUCAAAAGAUAACACUUUCUCCGCAAAGGAUGACCUCUUCUCCCGCAAAAUACCUACUUUCUCCCCCCACAAGUGGAUUUUCUCCCCCAGAUCCUACUUUUCGCCCCACAGUUAAGCAUCAUCUCCCACAAAAUACCACCUUUCAAACGAAAAAGAAGACCUCAGGAGCACGCUUCACAAGCUCAAGACUGCAGCACGGCAAGCUGGCAAGAGAGGAUUCUGAACUGCCAUCCUUUACACUUCCAGCCACAGCGGGCUCUGUCACGUACAGCUGGGUAGUAACCGACGGGCAGUGGCAGGGCCCUUUCUUGCCGCUCCUCUGAUACUUACGACCAAAUCUAGAAAGAAAUCGAAGCAGUUGUUCUCUGUAGAAACUCCGCCUAACCUUGUUCCUUCUACCCGCAGACAAGCCCAACACAUGCCUGCCAGUCCAAUGGUGGGUAGAAGUGUUUGGUUUGUUGUUUUGGUUGCCGUUAUUUUGUUUGUUUUUUUCUGUGUGUGUGGGGGGGGAGAAAAUGGGGGGAAUGUCAUGUUUCCGAAAGAAGUGUAGUAUUUUGGAGAGAAAAUGUUUUGUUUUCGUUUGAAAGGUGGUAUUUUGUGGGAGAUGAUGCUUAACUGUGGGGCGAAAAGUAGGAUCUGGGGGAGAAAAUCCACUUCUGGGGGGAAAGAAUAGGACAUUUUCUCCCCCAAGUACCCCUUGUCUCACCGAAACAAGACUCUUUCUCCACUAAAUACCACUGCUCUCCACAAAACAUGACUUCUCGCCUGCCAAAUACAAAGCUGUUUGCUUUCCAAAAAGACGACGUUUCCUUCGCGCGCUCCCUUUUUUCUCCACAACAUGCAAAUUCUCUCUCCAAAACAGGACAGUUUCUCCCCCAAACGCUACUUUUCUCCAGAACAUAGGGCCCUUCCUUCGCGCAUCAUGCCACAUUUCUCCUGAAAAUAUACAGCUCUUCCUUGCAAAAUACCACUUUUCUCCCAAAGACAUGACCAUUUUUCUUCCCACACCAUACCACUCUUCUCCAAAACUACGAUCUCUCCUCUCAAAAACGCCACUUUUCUCCCAAAAAUACGACCGUUUCUUCCCCUCGGGACCUCUUUUCUCCUCCAUAGAUGAGACUUUCUCGACCCAAAUCUCACUUUCGUCAAGAAAAGAAGGCAUUUUC
ensembl:lncRNA